rnacentral:rRNA from 1 species
AUGAACGCCAUCUAUCUUGGGAGGAUAUUCGCAAUCUCCAUAGUAAAGGUAACCAUCCGUGGGUUUAAUGAAAUUCUUUACCGUUCGGAGAAGGAGGGUGGCAUGGCAAGACCUAUUGGUAUGAUGAGAGAGUUCCGUGAAUGCCUAAUGGACUGCGGGCUCGAUGACAUGGGCUAUACCGAUGACAUAUUCACUUGGAGGAGAGGAGACUUACGUGAACGUCUUGACCGGGCA